AGUUGUAUUUCUAACGUGCUGUACAUUAAUAGGCUGGUUCUCCUAUGAGGCAGCAAGCAAGCCCAGCCCAGGAGAAGGACAGGCCUGAGCUGUUUGCUUCUGCUAAGCCUUCAGUUUCACCCAUCACGCAAGCAACUGCUGGGGUGUCUUAGCCAAGAGGAGAGAAUGGAGACCUAUCGCCUGCCGGCCCCUCCAUCUUUAUUAUACUGCGCAACUGGGACUACACUUGACUUUCAAAGGCUCGACUUGUGCCAUUCAAAGGGAAAAUUUCCACCUUCAUUUUAAGCCCUAUCUUGUUCUCCCGAGGUCUGAAUAAAUAUUACUCAACAGCC